rnacentral:tRNA from 1 species
UCCCUGGUGGUCCAGUGGUUAAAACUCUGCGUUUCCACUGCAGCAGAUGUGGGUUCAAGCCCUGUUUGGGGAA